rnacentral:rRNA from 1 species
AAAGUACGUGAAAUUGUUGAAAGGGAAACGCUUGAAGUCAGACGUGCGCGGUACUAGUUACCACUGCAGGCUAGCAUCGGUUUUGUGAGCCGGAUAAAGGUGAAAGGAAGGUGGCAGUCUAGGCUGUGUUAUAGCCUUUAACUGAAUAUGGAUUAUGAGACCGAGGGACGCAGCGCGCCGCAAGGCAAAGGAUUCGUCCUUUUCGCGCUUAGGAUGCUGGUGAAAUGGCUUUAAACGACCCGUCUUGAAACACGGACCAAGGAGUCUAACAUGCUUGCGAGUGUUUGGGUGRUCAAACCCAUACGCGUAAUGAAAGUGAAUGGAGGUGGGAUCCUUUACCGGAGCACCAUCGACCGAUCCGGAUUUUUAAUGAAGGAUUUGAGUAAGAGCACGUAUGUUGGGACCCGAAAGAUGGUGAACUAUGCCUGAAUAGGGUGAAGCCAGAGGAAACUCUGGUGGAGGCUCGUAGCGGUUCUGACGU